ensembl:lncRNA
UCCAAAUUGGAUGAAGAGGGGAUGGAGGUUGCUGUGUGUCACCAUGGGUUUCUUCUGAAAGCCCUUAAUAUGUACAGGGGAGAGAUAUUUGCCUACCCUCUGUAUCUUCAGAAGGAGCUCAUGCCAGCCAAGGCAAAAUUAUUUGCGAUGGAUGGGGCUUGCAAAUAUUGGCCAUAUUUGGAGAAAGCUGCUAGAGUCCUUCCUGCUCUUCAGGAGCUCACCGAAAUGAAACCAUUCCUCAGUGUAAUGCAUGCUCGAGCCCAUGCUACAAAGUGUGAGAUUAAAUGGAAUGGUAGGAACCAGGAAGGAGCAGGAACAACAGCUGGUGAGGAGGUGGAGCAAGUGAACAGCUACCUCUCACGUUGUGCCCUGACGACCAAAUAUAUGUCUAAAGCAGCACGGGUGGACAUGCUUACCAUGCAUGCAAUGGGGUGGAACCACAAAAAAAGUCUCUCUCUACAUCAGGCACUUUCCACAAGAUAUGUGAAGUUACUGCAGUUUUGCUUUCACUUUUUGAAAAGCAUUUUGGUGUUGGAGACAUGGCAGUGGUUCUCAAGAACAAGAUGGCUGAGGAGGGUAAGUUGAAUAAAAUCCCUACUGUUACGAACUUUUAAAGUUCCAGGGGUUGGAACGCAACAUUUAGUUAUAUUGCUGGGAUGGUGGAGAUUGUAGAAAUGACCAGACAAAAGUACGGAGUUAACCCCAAUUAAAUGUUUUAAUUUCCAAAAAGCCGAAGCCACUAGACAGUGUGUGAGCUAUGUACAAUGCAUAUAUUAGACAAAAAAGAAAAUACAUUAAGUUAAGGGGAAAACGGAACGAGGGCGGUGCCCAAAUCAACAAAAAGAAUAAAACAAAAAUAGGUCAGAAACCCUCUAACCUAACUAACCAAAAGAAAAGGUAGAAAACAAACCCGGAAUCUUCUGCGUAUGCGACGCCUCAACUAAACUACCCUAUCUAACAAUCCAAAAUUACAAAAAGGGCACUCACCACUUACCUAGUGUGUCUAACACCUGUUAGCUGCGGGCAAUAUGUAACCGAGAUCGCACGACACACUAAACUUCCCCAUCUCCCCCCAGUAAAGAGAAGAACAGUUAUCAGCCCAACUCAGACACAAGUCAAUACAGCGAACAAGCAUCGGGCUUACAUCAUAACAAAAAUACAAAAUGCUAACCACAAGCAACAACGCCAAGACCUGAACACACACUGAGCCCCUCAGCGCAGCACGCCGAGAGACCUUUAAUCAGCAGGCUGACAUCGGAUUGGCUGCAGAGACCACGCCCUUAAUGAUGAUCGACAGCCGCCUCCUCCAUUCAGCAGAUACCUGAGAGCAAAGACGACAGCCUAGAGAACGGUAAAGACAGAAAAGGGAGGGACAAAGAAACUCGCAGCACAUAACACCUACCAUUUAAAGUAUGAAUUUCAAAUAAUAAAUAAACAUUAUCAGUCUCAGCCACAGAACUUGGAUGGAGUAGAAAGGUUAUUGUUCUUUUUGCCACAUUUGGCUUGUACGUGCUGCUUAUGUACUCUGCAUAGUUCAUGCUUAUUAAAGUCUGGUUAAAGUCACUGUCACAGAUGUGGUUAAUAAUUUAGUGGAAUAGCUUGAGCCUGUAGUGAAUGUCAGUGUUAAUUCAAGCCAGGCUUUUUCAACUGAGGACAGCUUACAUUAGCUGCGUUGAUGGAAUACCCCCUGUUACUGUUACUCUUAAUAAUGUAUUUGUGUAUUUAUUAAUGCUUUACACACCUUGUUCAUUCUAAAACAGCUAAACUUCACCUUCUUAUCCUACCUCUUGCCUUUUUGUUUUUCUGUAUCUUCCCAGAUGGAAGCUACUCAAAGGACUGUGUUGAAGGAAAUGGACUCGCCCUAUAUUUGUGUAUUAUCAGUAUGCUGAUUGAUUAACCACAUCCAAAUCUGGAUGCAUCCUAUAUUGUUGAAAAUUGAUGAAUUGAAGGUGAACUAAACAAUUGAGAAAGAAAACUGGUUGCGUAACAUUAUUUUUGAUCUGCACAAUGCGCGCAUUCAUCUUUAAGUGACUGCAGCCUAUAUUCCUGCUGCUUUCUGUGUCAUGAAUGUCAAUGAAACAACAAAAGACAAAGAUAAAAAUCACUUUUGUAGUUUUCACACAGAUUAAUUCUAUUUAAUUUAUACAGUGAAAAAUAUGCAAAAAAAAAA